GAUGAACGCUGGCGGCGUGCCUAAUACAUGCAAGUCGAGCGAACAGACGAGGAGCUUGCUCCUCUGACGUUAGCGGCGGACGGGUGAGUAACACGUGGAUAACCUACCUAUAAGACUGGGAUAACUUCGGGAAACCGGAGCUAAUACCGGAUAAUAUAUUGAACCGCAUGGUUCAAUAGUGAAAGACGGUUUUGCUGUCACUUAUAGAUGGAUCCACGCCGCAUUAGCUAGUUGGUAAGGUAACGGCUUACCAAGGCAACGAUGCGUAGCCGACCUGAGAGGGUGAUCGGCCACACUGGAACUGAGCCACGGUCCAGACUCCUACGGGAGGCAGCAGUAGGGAAUCUUCCGCAAUGGGCGAAAGCCUGACGGAGCAACGCCGCGUGAGUGAUGAAGGUCUUCGGAUCGUAAAACUCUGUUAUUAGGGAAGAACAAAUGUGUAAGUAACUAUGCACGUCUUGACGGUGCCUAAUCAGAAAGCCACGGCUAACUACGUG
rnacentral:rRNA from 1 species